CCUACGGGAGGCAGCAGUAGGGAAUAUUGCUCAAUGGGGGAAACCCUGAAGCAGCAACGCCGCGUGGAGGAUGAAGGUUUUCGGAUUGUAAACUCCUUUUGUUAGAGAAGAUAAUGACGGUAUCUAACGAAUAAGCACCGGCUAACUCCGUGCCAGCAGCCGCGGUAAUACGGGGGGUGCAAGCGUUACUCGGAAUCACUGGGCGUAAAGAGGGCGUAGGCGGGAUAGCAAGUCAGAUGUGAAAUCCUAUGGCUUAACCAUAGAACUGCAUUUGAAACUGUUAUUCUAGAGUAUGGGAGAGGUAGGUGGAAUUCUUGGUGUAGGGGUAAAAUCCGUAGAGAUCAAGAGGAAUACUCAUUGCGAAGGCGACCUGCUAGAACAUAACUGACGCUGAUGCGCGAAAGCGUGGGGAGCAAACAGGAUUAGAUACCCCAGUAGUC
rnacentral:rRNA from 1 species